UGCUCCUGAAUUCAGCGGCGGACGGGUGAGUAAUGCCUAGGAAUCUGCCUGGUAGUGGGGGACAACGUCUCGAAAGGGACGCUAAUACCGCAUACGUCCUACGGGAGAAAGCAGGGGACCUUCGGGCCUUGCGCUAUCAGAUGAGCCUAGGUCGGAUUAGCUAGUUGGUGAGGUAAUGGCUCACCAAGGCGACGAUCCGUAACUGGUCUGAGAGGAUGAUCAGUCACACUGGAACUGAGACACGGUCCAGACUCCUACGGGAGGCAGCAGUGGGGAAUAUUGGACAAUGGGCGAAAGCCUGAUCCAGCCAUGCCGCGUGUGUGAAGAAGGUCUUCGGAUUGUAAAGCACUUUAAGUUGGGAGGAAGGGCAUUAACCUAAUACGUUAGUGUUUUGACGUUACCGACAGAAUAAGCACCGGCUAACUCUGUGCCAGCAGCCGCGGUAAUACAGAGGGUGCAAGCGUUAAUCGGAAUUACUGGGCGUAAAGCGCGCGUAGGUGGUUUGUUAAGUUGGAUGUGAAAUCCCCGGGCUCAACCUGGGAACUGCAUUCAAAACUGACAAGCUAGAGUAUGGUAGAGGGUGGUGGAAUUUCCUGUGUAGCGGUGAAAUGCGUAGAUAUAGGAAGGAACACCAGUGGCGAAGGCGACCACCUGGACUGAUACUGACACUG
rnacentral:rRNA from 1 species